CGUAUGACAUACUAACUUUAAAACAUGAAGGUACAUCUGCAAUUUACAGGGCACAUAUAAUUAACUCUUACCCUCUCCCCGUCUUCUCGGUUUCCUUAUGCUUCAUCUUUCUCGGCUUUUCCUUGUGUAAGUACUCUCUCUCUCUC